AGAUCUUUCAGAAUGAUAAUGUGUUUAUGCACAAAUUCUAAAUGCAUUGGGGAAGCCACUGAAGUUCUGUUGUUCUUUUCCAGAGGAAAAGAGAACAGUUGAGAGAAAUGGGGAGUACAAGCAGACAGUACUAGAGAGAGAAACAGAUCGGGGCUAUACACACUGAGAUCAAGGGCAAGUUGCUUCCUUUAUGUAAUGCUUGAAGACAAGGCAGUGUGACUUUCCCCUUUGGUAUAAUGGGGCCCCUCUGGAUGCUGACAAACUUCAGACAGACAUCCUGAGGUGAUAUGGUGUCUGCAUUGAUAGGAAUUGCCAGUGGGUAACUCUUCCAUAAUUCUGUUCAGUUU